rnacentral:lncRNA from 1 species
UUAUAUCUUUAAUUAGGUUCAUAUUACCAAACCCAUACGCAUGACCAUUCACACCUAUUUCCAAGGAGGUAAUCCAGAGAUCGACUAAAGCCACAGAAUGGGGACGUCAGUCAAAUAAUAAUGAAUGCAAUUACUCAAUCUCUCCGAUCGCCAUACAUGAAUCCAAUGGUUCAGUUCUCUAUCCUAAAAACAUUGAAUAUUGAUUCCAACCUAGAACCCAAAUGCCGGCACUCGCACUCUAAUCGGUUCCUAAAACAAUCAAUAUAAUACAAUUAGGUCAUCUAAAGAAAUUAGGCAAAUCGAAUUUUACCAAACUACUUGGUGGAUUUAAGUUUUAUUAGACACUUGACUUGUCUUCGUUUUUAGACACAACCCUUAAGCUAUCAUAUUCCUAAUUAGCCUAAUUUUUCCACCAUUUUCCU